rnacentral:rRNA from 1 species
UACGUAGGGUGCAAGCGUUGUCCGGAAUUAUUGGGCGUAAAGAGCUCGUAGGCGGUUUGUCGCGUCUGCUGUGAAAACUCGGGGCUUAACUCCGGGCCUGCAGUGGGUACGGGCAGACUAGAGUGCGGUAGGGGAGACUGGAAUUCCUGGUGUAGCGGUGAAAUGCGCAGAUAUCAGGAGGAACACCAGUGGCGAAGGCGGCUCACUGGUCCGGUACUGACGCUGAGGUGCGAAAGCGUGGGGAGCAAACAGG